GAACCCGCGGGCGGGGCGGCGUCGCGCUCGCUCAUCCGAGGAAGGGGCGCCAGCUGAGUGUGCCCGAGCGGGUGCAGGGUGUUUCUUUACGAGACGUGUACGUGUUGGCGUUUUUUCAAGCUCUCCUAGGAGCGACACACACGUCACAGGCUGUUUGGAAGACACGUGCGGUAUCUGUUUCAGUAUCCACAUCGCGUGUACAAUGUUCCAGGCCACCGCUCACCACUUUACAAACGUCAACUCACACAUGGUCGCAACAGCCCUGGGAAGGGGAAAUGCAGUACUUGCUUCCAGUAAUCGUAUUGUAAUGUGAGAAGGUGGUAGCACUAACGGCUGAAUACAAGAGUUAAACUAACCCACACCAGCUCAACAACCUGUGGAGGUUUAGUUGAAUAAGAAUGGACGCCCACAGUGAUUCUCAACCCAUUACAAAUUUUCACAGAACACAGUAAAACGGAAAGGUAACUAUGAGAGUCAAUACAAGUAUACUAGAGGCACAGGGGGCCCGGCUCAUAAAAACACACGUCAAACCGAGUUAUUAACACGGGGGUGUUCAGUUUCACAACAGAUCUAUCACUGCUGGGAGCGCUCAAUGCCCUCCCCCCAAUUUGGAAUGAAAACCCGAGGCGUCUGGAGUGGACAGGCUUCCACGGGUGGUGGGGAAAGUCCCCGGUGAACUCUGUUCUGGGGAAGGGGUCAGGGCGGCAGGGACGGGCUCGAGGGUCUGCCGUGAAGUCUUCCUGGGGCCUCCCAGGCUGGGGAAGCUCCGGGCUUCUCUGCGAAGCUGCGGAGGCUGCUGGGAGACCAGGCAGAAGGGUGGGGCUGGCAGCGCUUGCAAACCUCACCUCAACGCUGCCAGUGGCCUUGUGACCUUUGGUUGAGAUGUUAAAAAAAAAAGUGCUAAUUUAUAGACUAUUAUGAAAAAUAUAAUAAAAAUUAAAAAAGAGGAAUACACAAAUAGAAUCAAAGGGGAAAAAAGCUUGUGUCAUCUUGAGAAGUCGAACACAAAACAGCAGGAGAAACAGCUCCAUUCGUUGGCCGCCAUUUGUCCCUAAACCACGAAGGUGCUCUGCUGGCAUUACAGGUGGCACUUGGACCACAAGCUCCUGUGGUCCAGACGCAGUCUGGAAAUGUGCUUCCUGAAUGAAGCAGCACAAGGUGUGCCCCUGUGAGCACCGUCACGCCUGGCCCCCAGGCGCGGCCCUGCCCCACAGGCGGCUGACCCCCGGUUACAGAGCCUCCUUAUCUUUCUGAGCAUUUCCGGAUCCAUUCCCCAUUCCCCCUGUCCUCUAAUCUGGCUACAUAACCCUUUGGGGCAUAAAGGCAGAUGGCAGCUGGCUUAGGGAAAAAAAUGAGAGGAAAUUUAUUUAAUUUGGGAACCAAGUAGUUUCAAAUUUAGACUCAAAAAAGUGUAUUAAAAAAAAUCCCGUGUUAAUAGCAAACUUCUUUUUCUUAUGAAUCGGGCCCAAAGUUU
rnacentral:lncRNA from 1 species